GGUGACUCAGACUGGCCGUGGAGAAGCAAGAAAGCUGGAGGGAUGUCAUCAGAUGUCCAACAUGGUGAGGUACCAUCCACAUCAAAGCUUUCUACGAGAACUCAAAAGAGGUCAACACAUAAGGCCCAAAAAAAGAUGCCUACAAGGACAUCAGCUGGUCGUCUUGAAUGCUUUAAUAAGGGUAUUGAUGAGGAUAUGCCUCAGGGAAGUCCUAAUACCACAAAUUCCCAGACCCUAGAUGAAGGUCAUGUACAG